rnacentral:rRNA from 3 species
CUGCGAUAAGCGCCGGUAAGGUGAUAUGAACCGUUAUAACCGGCGAUACCCGAAUGGGGAAACCCAGUGUGAUUCGUCACACUAUCAUUAACUGAAUCCAUAGGUUAAUGAGGCGAACCGGGGGAACUGAAACAUCUAAGUACCCCGAGGAAAAGAAAUCAACCGAGAUUCCCCCAGUAGCGGCGAGCGAACGGGGAGGAGCCCAGAGCCUGAAUCAGCAUGUGUGUUAGUGGAAGCGUCUGGAAAGGCGCGCGAUACAGGGUGACAGCCCCGUACACAAAAGCGCAUGUGCUGUGAGCUCGAUGAGUAGGGCGGGACACGUGGUAUCCUGUCUGAAUAUGGGGGGACCAUCCUCCAAGGCUAAAUACUCCUGACUGACCGAUAGUGAACCAGUACCGUGAGGGAAAGGCGAAAAGAACCCCGGCGAGGGGAGUGAAAAAGAACCUGAAACCGU